rnacentral:rRNA from 1 species
AGGAGAGUUUGAUCCUGGCUCAGGAUGAACGCUAGCGGCAGGCUUAACACAUGCAAGUCGCGGGGCAGCGCGGGUAGCAAUACCUGGCGGCGACCGGCGGAAGGGUGCGUAACGCGUGAGCAACAUGCCCGUAUCAGGGGGAUAACCGAUGGAAACGUCGCCUAAUACCCCAUAACAACGAGGGCCGCAUGGCCCAUGUUUGAAAGUUACGGCGGAUACGGAUUGGCUCGCGUGACAUUAGCUAGUUGGCGGGGUAACGGCCCACCAAGGCGACGAUGUCUAGGGGUUCUGAGAGGAAGGUCCCCCACACUGGAACUGAGACACGGUCCAGACUCCUACGGGAGGCAGCAGUGAGGAAUAUUGGUCAAUGGGCGCAAGCCUGAACCAGCCAUGCCGCGUGCAGGAAUGAGGCCCUAUGGGUCGUAAACUGCUUUUGCUGCGGAGCAAUAAGUGCUACGUGUAACACGAUGAGAGUACGCAGCGAAUAAGCAUCGGCUAACUCCGUGCCAGCAGCCGCGGUAAUACGGAGGAUGCGAGCGUUAUCCGGAUUUAUUGGGUUUAAAGGGUGCGUAGGCUGUUCGUCAAGUCAGUGGUGAAAUGCCGGGGCUCAACCCCGGAGCUGCCAUUGAUACUGUCGGGCUUGAAUCCUGCUGCCGUGGGAGGAAUGAGUAGUGUAGCGGUGAAAUGCAUAGAUAUUACUCAGAACACCGAUUGCGAAGGCAUCUCACGAAACAGGCAUUGACGCUGAGGCACGAAAGCGUGGGGAUCAAACAGGAUUAGAUACCCUGGUAGUCCCCU